rnacentral:rRNA from 1 species
UACAUGUGGGGCAAGCGUUGUUCGGAAUUACUGGGCAUAAGGGUGCGUAGGUGGCUUGUUAAGUCAGGGGUGAAAGUUUUCGGCCCAACCGGAAAAUGGCCUUUGAUACUGGCGAGCUCGAGUGCGUGAGGGGUAACCGGAACGAGCAGUGUAGCGGUGAAAUGCGUAGAUAUUGCUCGGAAGGCCAACGGCGAAGGCAGGUUACUGGUGCGCAACUGACACUGAGGCACGAAAGCGUGGGGAGCAAACAGG